ACACACAAGCAUUAAGGGUCCACUUUAUUUCCAUAUUAUGAAUUUUGUGGAUUAGUCUGCUUUGUUCUUUUUUGAAUUAAUUUAAGAAAUAAUGAAAAAUUACAUCUGAAUUUUCUGAAUGUUUUGAUUUAGUGAUUUCUAGCCAUAAUAUUAUUAGGAAUAUUACUAUAUAAGUGAAUAUAUCAUUAAGCAUAAUUGCACCCUUUUUUUGUUUUACAGAAUUAGCCUACACAAUGCAAGUGAAAGAAAAAUGUGAUGUGGAUAGUUUUGGGGUGAUAGCACUGGAGUUAGUAAUGGGAAAGCAUCCAGGCAACCUCAUCUCAUCUCUUUGGUCAUCAGCAUCUUCCUCAUCACUGAAUGAUCAUCAUAAAUUGUUAAAGGAUGUGAUUGACCAGCGUCUUCCACUUCCUCAAAAUCAAGUUGCAGAGGAUGUUGUCUACAUUACCAUGUUAGCAUUUACAUGCUUGCGUAUCAAUCCCAAAUCUCGGCCUACAAUGCAACAAGUUUCCUCGAAGAUGAUUCCUAAGUCUAUAUAGAUGUGUCUUGGUUGUCUGUAUCUCUCCUUCCAGGUUUUUUCAGUUGGCAUGCGAUAUCUUAGGUUGGGUAUAUUAGGGUGGCCUAUUGGCUCGGUUUUAGUUGGACAUACUCAUGCUAAAUUUUAUAAAAAUUAUUGUUUAUUAAAACAAAAACUAGUAUUACUACUUUUUAAGGCAAUUUAGCACUAGAUCACUAAUCUCCUAGAGAUAAAAUUACAUUAAACACAAAUUGCCCAAUUAUUUAA